ACAGAGAUUUGGAAUGCAGACCAAAACAACGCAUGUAUUUGGUGUGUCUGAAUGGACAGGGCAGGAGAGGCCUCCCUUUGGAAAAUCCAGCAGCACCCUCCCUGGGACCUCCGUCCCUCACCCCAGCUGGGCCCCAGGUGCCUUCCUUGGGCUCUGGCCUGGGACCUGGGCCAGCCUCCCUGGGUGCCUGGGCUGUGAGGGGUGACUCUCAGGUGCUGCCUGCCAUGUCUCUUGUGAGGACCAGAGCAGGAAGGAGCCUGUGCAGGAACAAAAAGAAGGGUGAGGGAAGAGGCCAUCAUGGUCCUGCUGGGCUGGACCUGAGAUGCAGUCAUAAUCCUGCCUUGAGUGUCCCCCAAACCCUCAAAACCAAGUUCCUUUUGAUUUAUUUUAGUCUACCUACUUUCCUAUCACAUCUGAUCCAAGCUAUUUCUCAUCCAGGGAGAGAGAAGAGGGGUACCUGCUGCCCACCGUGUGUGCAGAGCCCUGGGCUGGGCGGUGGACAAGCGGGAAUGUGGCUGUCCAGACAUCGGGUGUCUGAACCACCCUGAGAGAGGGGGCUGUGACACUCCCCUGCUCCGGGGACUACCCUUGGUCCCCCAGAAUCACUGGGGUCAGGAGCCCUCCUGAAAGGCUGUCUCUGAAAUCCUCACACCAGGUUUCACCCACAGGUUGAGCUAGACCAGCCACAAGGGCCUGAACAUGGGCGGAUGGCUGCAUGCCAAAGGCAGGCGCUGUAGCCCGGCCCUGGUGUGUGCAGGCCAGCUGCUCUGUGCACCACGUGUCACAAGCAGGAAGACACAGAGGAAAUGGGAAGGGUGAGAUGCUCAGGCCUCAGGGCUGUCUGUGUCAGCCCGGUGAGGAUCACUGGGAGACAACACAAGCAGAUGAUGGGUGGUGGUUGUUUUCUUUCUUCCAAAAUUGGACACAGCGAUUCCAGUUAAUAAAAGCUGCCCAACCUCCCAUUCCUAAAGCUUGCUGACAGGUUGGCUUCCAACCCUGCUGUAGGCCAGGCGCUUGGCUCUUCUGGGCUUUGGCUCCUCACUGUGGGGCCUGGGAAGCUCAGCAACGUGCUAGCCAUGGCGGCCACAGGGCAGGCAUUGGGUACAGUCUACAUCUGUGUCUCAGUCUGUAAAUGGCAACCUAGCAGUUCCACCUGCAUGACGACACAUGUAAAACAGUCCCAGGACCUCCUUCCCGCCAACGUCCCUCUCCCUGUUCCGGAAAUGGACUGAGGCCUGGGCAUGGCUGCUGAACACCCAACUGGGCACCUAAGCGGAAGCCGCCAGGCCCUCGGCCUCUGCUGGCACUGCUGUAGUUGCUGACCAAGCUCAAGCACUUGUCCCGUGGAGGUGAGAUAGCAGCCACCAGGCCAUGGCUCACUGGGUAGCAGGCAGGAGUCUCCACCUGCCCCAGCUGAUGAAGCAUCUCCUGGACCUCACUGCAGAGCCAUGAGGACAUGAUUCUUGGCGUUGGGUUCAAGCGCCUCACAGCCCGGUGUCUACCUGCACAUUGCCCAGCACAUACAAGGGUCUGAAAAAUGUCUUUGGGCUUUGUUCAUGCUUCACAAACCUGAGCCUGACUUGCACCACCCCUUGACAAGACCAGAACACAGCUGCUGUUCAACAACAAAAGCAUAGGCAGCAAGAAUUUCCACGUAAUAAGACCUGCUUCCAGCCAGCAAUUUACAAGCAUCCCUGGGUGCACAGGCACUUAAUGUUCACAAUGACCCUCAAUCCCGGAGAUGCCUGCACUGACAGGCAGAAGC
rnacentral:lncRNA from 1 species